UUAGGAUCAAGUUAUAUUUAAAAUAUAUAUUUAUUGCCAAACCUGCAUUUUUACAUGUGCAGGCUUGUCUGCAUGUUAAUCGCGUUGGAAGUUGUGAUACUUGGUAAUCCCGCAAUUAUUUUACUAAUUUUACCUUUGCCAGUCCCAAGCCUAGAUUCGAAAGGAGGGUUGCGUUAAGUCAGCAACCAUCAUAAAACUUCUUCAACAUCUCUAUAAUGAAUCUCAAUGGUGAAACAUGAUUCAUAAAGCUUAACUCUAAAUAAUUAAGCUAAAGAUCGAAUGAUUGAAUGAAGAACCUUCCAUUAAGUCUCUCUACUAAAUUACCCACUUGCCGUUGGCCCACCAAAAGCAACCUUAGCUUAGACGUUCCCCCAAGAAACUUUAUUUUUUUGCAGUGGUCCCACUUGAUUAAAUACGUCAACAUGGUUAGGUAGCAUUCCUUUAAUACGGGAGGGUCAUGCGUCGUAGGUGGACGCCACAAUCACAUCAUGUACGACGUCUUUCCGUUUCAAAGUAGGCUUCGCUUUGUUUUCUUAGGGAGGUGCCUGGCAAAUUUAGAGGACGACAAAAGCCACUAAGGUUUCUAAUCAAUUACAGUACUAAAGAUUAGGAAGCUUCCCUUCCUUUUUGCCCUUCCAACAUCUCCAAAAUAUCCCUAUACAUAGGGAUUAAUUUAGACCAAGGUUUUAAAAAUUGGUGAUCAAGAAUGGAAUUAGCCAGUCUUGAUCCCACAAAAUAUCGGGCCGGUUCGCCUUAUGAACUGAUCGGUUCUAUAGAGAAUAGGUUUUAUUUUAUUUUUUAAUAUUGGUUCGCCUUAUGAACUGAUCGGUUUUAUAGAGAAUAGGUUUUAUUUUAUUUUUUAAUAUUUUUUUUAAAUUUUUUUAUUAUCUAUUUUUUAAAGUUUUUACUCCCUGGUUCAUUAGGCCAAAUCGCCCGAUCCGGAUCAAUUUUUUGGAGAAGCUAUCCAGGUCAUCAAACCAUAUUUUUAAACCCCAAAUUAGACCGCAAAUCUCCUCUCUCUUCUAGUUGAUUUCUUGUUUUCUUGGAACAUGUACUACUAUAUUCCAAACAUGCAAUGUACCCACCAUUUUCGGUAAACAACUAGGCACUUUCGUAAUUUUCCAAGCACUAGUGGUAAUUUCCAACCACCCCCAUCUGUACAUAUAUUGCUCAAAUUCUUUGCCCCUAAGUGGAUCUGAUGCCUUACAUUUCUCAUGGGUUCCUCGCUCAAGUUUUCCAUAGCGAUCUUAGCCAUAAUUCUCCUAAGUGGUUUUCCGGUCAAAGUACUUGGUGGAUAUGGGAGAGAUGUACAUCAACAUAAAGCCUCUCACAUGACCGGAAAUUUUGGCCGGAAAGUUGGGGCAUACCAUCAUUUUCCAAUGGACUCUGUGAUUUUAGGACGAGGUGUUGGUUGUUGCCCGCGUUCACCCGUUGCCAAUCGACCGAGAUCGUGGUUGAGAAUCAUUUUUGGAAAAGGACUGAACUUCUAUCAGAGUUAAGAUCUGGUGUAUUAAGGGUCGUGAAUUCCAAAGGUAGUGCGACUGCAGAUUGGUAAACAAUCUUUCUUAAUCUUUGUAAAGAUUGAAUAAGGUAUUUUGCCUCCAAAGAAGGUAGUAGUUGUUAAUAAGACCAUACUGCUAAAAUCUAAUAACCAGGUGCAGCAACCAAGAGACUUUGCAACCAGGUUAUGAAAUGAUAGACCAAAAAAGAGAGAAGAAUGGAAUUUUUGGCCUCUCAUCAAAAAAUUCCUACAAAAUUGUCGGAAAGUAGCCUCCCGACCAUCGGAUUUGAAGGGGAAGAGGAAUAGGCAUAACCGAAAUUGGAGACGGUUACAAAUUUUAAAAAUUUGAAUAAGAGGUGGAUUCCGGUGGGAAGAUUUCUUGAAACGACCAUCAGAUUUUUGGAUUUGCAUGUGCUUUUAAGGGGGAUCUUUUAUCAUCAUCUGGGGUAAGGACACGUGUAGGAGUUGACGUUCCCGUUUUAGUGAAGGACCAUUCCGAUGGUGGUGAUCGUGCAGACAUUCCUUUAGGUAACUUCGUGAAACUUUCCCCGAGAUGCAAGGCUGUGGAAAACGGUGCGAAUGAUGACUUUCCUUAAGAAAAUCCAUCGCCCCCUUACGUGGCAUGUAUGCAGGUAGACGUUUCUGUAAGUGAAUCUUCCUCAUAUCCUCCUUUUGAGAAGGGGAAGAUGAAGGGGUUUUUGGGCUCCGUUAUGUGGUUUCUAUUACUGCAAAAUUUGGUGGCAUCAGUUUCUUUUCCAAGAUGAUGGAGCAAAUUUUGCCCCCUUACGUGGCAUGUAUGCAGGUAGACGUUUCUGUAAGUGAAUCUUCCUCAUAUCCUCCGUUUGAGAAAGGGAAGAUGAAGGGGUUUUUGGGCUCCAUAAUGAGGUUUCUAUUACUGUAAAAUUUGGUGGCAUCGGUUUCUUUUCAAAGAUGAUGGAGCAAAUUUUGGUGAGUGUUUCUUGUGUAUGUCAAGCUCAGGAUGUAUCCACUGCUUGCUAGGGGAGCUGCUAUAAGGGGUCAGAUUCAGAUAGACCAAGAGCAACAGGCUCAAGGGAUCGUGGGAGAUGUUAAUGAUUUUGAUCCCACUUAUGCGGUGGUGAAGGGUGUUGUUGGGGAGCCUUUGGCUAUGGUGGCUCAGCCGGUGCCUUCAAAUCUUUUACUUACAUUCUUCUCUAUCUAUGAAAGUGAUGACUCCAUGGUAGCUGAGCCACCUGCGCAUGGGGGCAAUUCUUCAGACACCUCAAAGAACAAACAUAAGGAAGCAAAGCAUGAGGAGGUGGAUGAGUUGGAAAUAGAGAGCAGAAAGGUGAUGGAUAUGUUCGAUGAUAUGAGAGCCGAUUUCAAUGUCCUUAUAGCUGUUAUACUAGAUGAGAUGAAAGUUAAAAAGAGAGAAGAAAGAGCUAAGGUUGCCUUGGAAGUGGCUUAGAAUAAGAAGAGUAAAGCAAAGAUGGAGCAAACCCCAAUUAAGAAGGCCGAGAAGAAGAAAAAAGAAGGAACAAAGACAUCGAGGUCCUCUACUCAUAUUGCAACAAGGUUUGGAUUCUUUGAUGGGCUUCAAUCGCAAGCAAUUCAGAUGGAGGAACCAGACUUAGUAGAACUCAGUAGUGAGAUCACUACUUAUGAAGCCACCAUCUCGGAAGACGAGGAUGCGGCUUUGCAAGAAGCUCUUAUGCUUGAUGAAGCCUAUUUUGGACCUUGCAUCAAUGGUCUAGGUUCUUCUUUUCACCCACCUCUUUAAAUGAAUAUAAUUUCUUGGAAUGUUGGCGGUUUGGGAGAUCCUAGGAGAAAAAGAGAUGUCCGAUUUUUUGUGCCUAAAUAUAAACUUGUUGUUUUGAUGCUUCAGGAAACCAAAUUGUCUAUCCCCACUGUUGAAGGGGUCAAGGAUAUUUGAGGUAAUGAAGCAGUUGACUUUAUGGGUGUUGAUUCUGUGGGAGCCUUUGGGGGUCUGUGGAUGUUGUGGGACCCUCAAGUUUUGCAAAUUUUUUGUUCUAGUAUUAGGGAUAGAAUUGUGUUAUUACGUUUUUGUGGUCCUGCAGUUGAUUUUUCCUAGGGUUUGCUAAAUUACUAUGGUCAUAAUUUAAGUGCUUCUAAAGAGUUGUUUAUUAAUGAUCUCUUUGAUGUUUUGAAUGACUUUCUUUAUCCUGUUUGUCUUGGAGGGGAUUUCAAUUUGUUCCGAUGGCCAGAAGAUUUUUCUUACGGGACGCCAUUGAAUGGGGCCAUGCGUAUGUUAAAUUACUUUAUUGAAAUCAUGCUCUGGUGGCUUUACCUAUUGUUGGAACUAUUUAUACAUGGUCGAACAAUAACACUUCUAAGUUUUGAAUGUCUAAGAUCAACAUAUUUUUGG